rnacentral:rRNA from 1 species
GAUGAACGCGGCUACAGGCUUAACACAUGCAAGUCGAGGGGAAACGGCGUUGAGUGCUCGCACUCUUCGGACGUCGACCGGCGCACGGGUGAGUAACGCGUAUCCAACCUUCCCGUCACUGCGGGAUAACCUGCCGAAAGGCAGACUAAUACCGCAUGGCCUUCACUGACGGCAUCCGAGGUGAAGUAAAGCUUUUUUGCGGUGACGGACGGGGAUGCGUCUGAUUAGCUUGUUGGCGGGGCGACGGCCCACCAAGGCGACGAUCAGUAGGGGUUCUGAGAGGAAGGUCCCCCACAUUGGAACUGAGACACGGUCCAAACUCCUACGGGAGGCAGCAGUGAGGAAUAUUGGUCAAUGGGCGGAAGCCUGAACCAGCCAAGUAGCGUGCAGGACGACGGCCCUACGGGUUGUAAACUGCUUUUAUGCGGGGAUAAAGUGAGGGACGCGUCCCUUUUUGCAGGUACCGCAUGAAUAAGGACCGGCUAAUUCCGUGCCAGCAGCCGCGGUAAUACGGAAGGUCCGGGCGUUAUCCGGAUUUAUUGGGUUUAAAGGGAGCGUAGGCCGGGGAUUAAGUGUGUUGUGAAAUGUAGGCGCUCAACGUCUGAUGUGCAGCGCAUACUGGUUCCCUUGAGUACGCGCAACGCCGGCGGAAUUCGUCGUGUAGCGGUGAAAUGCUUAGAUAUGACGAAGAACCCCGAUUGCGAAGGCAGCCGGCGGGAGCGCAACUGACGCUGAAGCUCGAAGGUGCGGGUAUCGAACAGG